ensembl:snRNA U2 U2 spliceosomal RNA
AUCACAUCCUGGCCUUUUGGCUAAGAUCACGUGUAGUAUCUUUUCUUAUCAGUUUACUAUUUCCUGGCAGGUAGAGCUAUUUGUACUUCUCCAACCCAGCGGGCUCCCUUACACUUCUGAGUUCCUGAACCUGCUUUGCCUUUGCUAGGUCUGCCCUACCCAUCUCAGUGGCUUGGAAAA